AAGCAACACUAAUUCUUUUGGGCCGUGGAGGCGGAUCGUUUUUUUGGGCUAUGAGUUUUGGGAAUAGUAACCGGUGGCCCACAUAAAAAUUCACCCCAACAUGCCAACAUGGGGGAUUUUUUCUCUCACACAUUUGCUUCCAUGGUUCCACCGAUGCUUUUUUUGUGUGCCUCGUGAUUCAUCUAGAAGAACCGACGAAUCUGGCAAAAGGGAGGUGACAAGGGGGUGAUUCGUCUGGCGAAGCGGGAGGUGCGGGGAGCGCGAUUCGUCUGCCAAAGCGGGAGGGAGGGGGAGUGCUGAGUGUGAUUCGUGAGCUUCCUCAGUCGACGCCAUUCUUCAGGUACGGCUGACGGUGAUGGUGUUCAAUUUUGCUCGAGGUUUUACAGUGUGCGGGGUGGGGGAGCAGCUAUGGAGGAGAGUUGAUAAGUUCCGUCCGGGGGGCACGGCCAACGACGACGGCUUUGAUGCCGACACGGGAGGGGACAAUGACGUCACAGACAUGGAAUCUGCCUAAAUACAAUGUCACUGCCACUCCGCUGGAGGAUUCUGGUGUCCUUAGGUUUUGAGAGCUGAAUUUGUGUGACAUGUGCUUGAAUAGGUUCAGUGUGCAGGGAACAGGAGGACCAAAAUGAGCAAGAGUAGGAAGGUUUGGGGCAUCAGUUGGGAUGACUGUGCUCUUGGGAAUGGUUAGUGUACUUCGCUACUCAAUGCAGCAUAAUGGCUGGAGAAUGACAACCUCCUACACAACUAACCAGUGAUGAAGAACAUUAGCCGAUGAGCAUACUAUCGGUAUCGAUGGAUAAGAUGAUGAUAUGAAAGCCGGAGGAAAAUAUUGGUGUUUGGAUUAUAAUUUUUGUGACUGUUGUUAAUUCACUAAGUACUCUGAUUCUAUGGUGGCCAUUGUGGAUAUGAUGGAUAUAUUUUAUAUAUGAAGAGAUGUUGGACUU